AAUGGGGAAACCCACUUGUCAUAAGACAGGUAUCGUAAAUUUAUUUACGAGGCAAACCGGGAGAAGUGAAACAUCUCAGUAACCCGAGGAAAAGACAUCAAUAGAGAUUCCCCUAGUAGCGGCGAGCGAACGGGGAUUAGCCCUUAAGCAAUUAUGAACGUAGUGGAAGCCUCUGGGAAGUGGCGCGAUACAAGGUGAUAGCCCUGUACACGAAGUGUUUGUUUUUGUGAAAUCGAGUAGGUCGGGACACGUGAAAUCCUGACUGAACAUGGGGGGACCAUCCCCCAUG
rnacentral:rRNA from 1 species